UGGCAGGGGCCUGGAAGGCACUUGUAUUGGUGGUGUGCUUGUCAGUAGUGUCCUGUGUACCCCGUCGCCGUCUGAGAUAUAAUGAUAUUGUCACCAGGGCCUUGAGGAUCUACAAUGAUGGGCAGCGGGGAAAGCCUCUUUUCCGGCUGCUGGAAGCCAUUCCACCUGCGUUGAAUUCCACCAUCAGGAUCCCGCUCAACUUCAGGAUUAAAGAAACAGUGUGCAUUUCCCCACAGCCUCAGCCACAAGAAUGUGCUUUCCGGGAAGACGGAGAGGAGCGAACCUGCACAGGAGCAUUCUCCCGGCUGCCGGUGCGCUUCCUGACCCUCACCUGCGACAGGGACUGCGGGAACCAGCCACAGGUCAACAGAGUGAGUUCUGUUGGUUCCCCUGAGGACGAUCUCCCGGAGGCUGAGGGCACCAAACUACCGGCUGUGGUCAGAGACCUGUACGAAAAGGCCAAGUACGACAUCAUCUCCAACAUCCUGAGUAAUUUCUAGGGCUGGAGAGGAGAGCCUCCCCUUCCCCACUCAUCCACCUUCCUCUGCUGCCUUCAGCGCCUCCUUCCUGCACAGGCCAGGGUGCCCCCUUUUAGAGAACCCUGCCCCCCAAGCCCCUGAGCCGAACAUUGCCUUUGCACCCUGCUUCCCUCUGCCUGGACUUCCUACCCGUCCUGUGUCUGUAAAUCCCACUCAUCCUCCAAGGCACAGCUCAAAAGUUACCCCCUGCAGGAAGCCUCCCUGCUCUCCCAGGGCAGAAGUGGACUUCUCUCGUCCCUUCCACUCAUGGUUCUCAAAACCACGUUGCCAUUAUCUGCUCUGUCCCCAACCAGCAGGCUGUGGAACAAAUUUCUCAGUGAGAUGCUCCUGGCAUCCUUGGGAGGACAGUUUCUUGUGUGCAAACCCCUAACACCCUUGCUCCCUGCCCAGUCACAUGCCCCUUGACAUAUGCAGACUUCCAAGAUCAGAUCAUCCUUGAGUGGGAACCAAAGGGGGAGGGGUGUCAAUAAAACAUUUAUGAUAUAAAUGACUAAGAUGGCUGAAUGAAUGAAGAAAGUGUUAGAGACUG